rnacentral:rRNA from 1 species
AGCAGCCGCGGUAAUUCCAGCUCCAAUAGCGUAUAUUAAAGUUGUUGCAGUUAAAAAGCUCGUAGUUGGAUUUCGGGGUUAGUAGGUUGGUCAUGCCUCUGGUAUGUACUGGUCUCACUGAUUCCUCCUUCCUGAUGAGCCGUAAUGCCAUUAAUUUGGUGUUGCGGGGAAUUUGGACUGUUACUUUGAAAAAAUUAGAGUGUUUAAAGCAAGUUAACGCUUGAAUACAUUAGCAUGGAAUAAUGAAAUAGGACGUUCGAUCCUAUUUUGUUGGUUUCUAGGAUUGACGUAAUGAUUAAUAGGGAUAGUUGGGGGCAUUAGUAUUCAAUUGUCAGAGGUGAAAUUCUUGGAUUUAUUGAAGACUAACUACUGCGAAAGCAUUUGCCAAGGAUGUUUUCAUUAAUCAAGAACGAAAGUUAGGGGAUCGAAGACGAUCAGAUACCGUCGUAGUCUUAACCAUAAACUAUGCCGACUAGGGAUCGGAUGAUGUUAAUUUUUAAUGACUCAUUCGGCGCCUUAC